rnacentral:lncRNA from 10 species
GCUCCCUCCCUAGAUCUUCCAUCCAGGAUAGUCCUGGAAAUGAUCUUGAUGCUAUCUGUUCCUCGUUACAGCAGACCUGCUCAACUUCAGCAGCUAGAAGGAGGAUUGUCUUUCACCAGCUGCAGGAGCCUGUUCCCACUACAAGCCUGGUGGAGUCUUCGGAGCAGAUGUGACUGUCCUACUUGUAUAGAGAAGAGAAACUGAGGCUCAGAAGAGAUGCCUGGCUGAGUUUAAUAGGACUGCAACAACAAUUUUGCCUUUCUACUUUCUGAUUGCAGCAAUAUACCCUUCAUUUGACCCAGUUUAUUCAUUCAAAAGAUACCUGGAGCCAAAACCAUGUAUGAGAAAUAGCAAAGGAAGAGGCAGGCACAAGCUGUGUUUAUAUACCCACCAAAGGACUACAGCAAAACACAUAUAUUCUAGUCAGCUCUGAGUGCACCUGUCUGUGUCAACAGUAGACCAGCGUGGUCUGGCAGAUGACCAUAUGACCCAGCUGAUUCACUCCGGAGUUAGAGGAACUUUUCCCAGACCCUGAAAGUCACCUUUUUAGACAACUUCGCAAACAGCCAUCCUUGUUCACGG